rnacentral:rRNA from 1 species
AGAGUUUGAUCAUGGCUCAGGGUGAACGCUGGCGGCGUGCCUAAGACAUGCAAGUCGAACGGGCCUGAUUUCGGUCAGGCUAGUGGCGGACGGGUGAGUAACACGUGGGUGAUCUACCCCAAAGUCUGGGACAACUAGGGGAAACCUUAGCUAAUCCCGGAUGGUGAGGCUUCUCCUGUGAAGUCUCUAAAGAUUUAUCGCUUUGGGAUGAGCCCGCGGCGCAUCAGCUAGUUGGUGGGGUAAUGGCCUACCAAGGCGACGACGCGUAGCUGGUCUGAGAGGACGACCAGCCACAGGAGCACUGAGACACGGGCUCCACUCCUACGGGAGGCAGCAGUUAGGAAUCUUCGUCAAUGGGCGAAAGCCUGAACGAGCGACGCCGCUUGAGGGACGAAGCCCUUCGGGGUGUAAACCUCUGAACAGGGGACGAUGAUGACGGUACCCUGCUAAUAGCACCGGCUAACUCCGUGCCAGCAGCCGCGGUAAUACGGAGGGUGCGAGCGUUACCCGGAUUUACUGGGCGUAAAGGGCGUGUAGGCGGUUUUCUAAGUCCGGGGCUAAAGACCAGGGCUCAACCCUGGGUUUGCCUUGGAUACUGGAAAGCUCGACGGCUGGAGGGGGCAGCGGAAUUUCCGGAGUAGCGGUGAAAUGCGCA